UUAAGCGACUAAGCGUACACGGUGGAUGCCCUGGCAGUCAGAGGCGAUGAAGGACGUGCUAAUCUGCGAAAAGCGCCGGCGAGGUGAUAUGAACCUUUGACCCGGCGAUGUCCGAAUGGGGAAACCCAGUGUGAUUCGUCACACUAUCGUUAACUGAAUACAUAGGUUAACGAGGCGAACCGGGGGAACUGAAACAUCUAAGUACCCCGAGGAAAAGAAAUCAACCGAGAUUCCCCCAGUAGCGGCGAGCGAACGGGGAGCAGCCCAGAGUCUGAAUCAGCUUGUGUGUUAGUGGAACGGUCUGGAAAGUCCGGCGAUACAGGGUGACAGCCCCGUACACGAAAAUGCACAGGUUGUGAACUCGAAGAGUAGGGCGGGACACGUGGUAUCCUGUCUGAAUAUGGGGGGACCAUCCUCCAAGGCUAAAUACUCCUGACUGACCGAUAGUGAACCAGUACCGUGAGGGAAAGGCGAAAAGAACCCCGGCGAGGGGAGUGAAAAAGAACCUGAAACCGUGUACGUACAAGCAGUGGGAGCACCUUCGUGGUGUGACUGCGUACCUUUUGUAUAAUGGGUCAGCGACUUAUAUUCUGUAGCAAGGUUAACCGUAUAGGGGAGCCGAAGGGAAACCGAGUCUUAACUGGGCGUUAAGUUGCAGGGUAUAGACCCGAAACCCGGUGAUCUAGCCAUGGGCAGGUUGAAGGUUGGGUAACACUAACUGGAGGACCGAACCGACUAAUGUUGAAAAAUUAGCGGAUGACUUGUGGCUGGGGGUGAAAGGCCAAUCAAACCGGGAGAUAGCUGGUUCUCCCCGAAAGCUAUUUAGGUAGCGCCUCGUGAACUCAUCUUCGGGGGUAGAGCACUGUUUCGGCUAGGGGGCCAUCCCGGCUUACCAACCCGAUGCAAACUACGAAUACCGAAGAAUGUUAUCACGGGAGACACACGGCGGGUGCUAACGUCCGUCGUGAAGAGGGAAACAACCCAGACCGCCAGCUAAGGUCCCAAAGUCAUGGUUAAGUGGGAAACGAUGUGGGAAGGCACAGACAGCCAGGAUGUUGGCUUAGAAGCAGCCAUCAUUUAAAGAAAGCGUAAUAGCUCACUGGUCGAGUCGGCCUGCGCGGAAGAUGUAACGGGGCUAAACCAUGCACCGAAGCUGCGGCAGCGACACUAUGUGUUGUUGGGUAGGGGAGCGUUCUGUAAGCCGUUGAAGGUGUGCUGUGAGGCAUGCUGGAGGUAUCAGAAGUGCGAAUGCUGACAUAAGUAACGAUAAAGCGGGUGAAAAGCCCGCUCGCCGGAAGACCAAGGGUUCCUGUCCAACGUUAAUCGGGGCAGGGUGAGUCGACCCCUAAGGCGAGGCCGAAAGGCGUAGUCGAUGGGAAACAGGUUAAUAUUCCUGUACUUGGUGUUACUGCGAAGGGGGGACGGAGAAGGCUAUGUUAGCCGGGCGACGGUUGUCCCGGUUUAAGCAUGUAGGCGGAGGUUCCAGGUAAAUCCGGUACCUUAUUAACGCUGAGGUGUGAUGACGAGGCACUACGGUGCUGAAGUAACAAAUGCCCUGCUUCCAGGAAAAGCCUCUAAGCAUCAGGUAACAUCAAAUCGUACCCCAAACCGACACAGGUGGUCAGGUAGAGAAUACCAAGGCGCUUGAGAGAACUCGGGUGAAGGAACUAGGCAAAAUGGUGCCGUAACUUCGGGAGAAGGCACGCUGAUAUGUAGGUGAAGCCCCUGCGGGUGGAGCUGAAAUCAGUCGAAGAUACCAGCUGGCUGCAACUGUUUAUUAAAAACACAGCACUGUGCAAACACGAAAGUGGACGUAUACGGUGUGACGCCUGCCCGGUGCCGGAAGGUUAAUUGAUGGGGUUAGCGGUAACGCGAAGCUCUUGAUCGAAGCCCCGGUAAACGGCGGCCGUAACUAUAACGGUCCUAAGGUAGCGAAAUUCCUUGUCGGGUAAGUUCCGACCUGCACGAAUGGCGUAAUGAUGGCCAGGCUGUCUCCACCCGAGACUCAGUGAAAUUGAACUCGCUGUGAAGAUGCAGUGUACCCGCGGCAAGACGGAAAGACCCCGUGAACCUUUACUAUAGCUUGACACUGAACACUGGUCCUUGAUGUGUAGGAUAGGUGGGAGGCUUUGAAGCGUGGACGCCAGUCUGCGUGGAGCCGACCUUGAAAUACCACCCUUUAAUGGCUGGUGUUCUAACGUAGACCCGUAAUCCGGGUUGCGGACAGUGUCUGGUGGGUAGUUUGACUGGGGCGGUCUCCUCCCAAAGAGUAACGGAGGAGCACGAAGGUUAGCUAAUCCUGGUCGGACAUCAGGAGGUUAGUGCAAUGGCAUAAGCUAGCUUGACUGCGAGAGUGACGGCUCGAGCAGGUGCGAAAGCAGGUCAUAGUGAUCCGGUGGUUCUGAAUGGAAGGGCCAUCGCUCAACGGAUAAAAGGUACUCCGGGGAUAACAGGCUGAUACCGCCCAAGAGUUCAUAUCGACGGCGGUGUUUGGCACCUCGAUGUCGGCUCAUCACAUCCUGGGGCUGAAGUAGGUCCCAAGGGUAUGGCUGUUCGCCAUUUAAAGUGGUACGCGAGCUGGGUUUAGAACGUCGUGAGACAGUUCGGUCCCUAUCUGCCGUGGGCGCUGGAGAAUUGAGGGGGGCUGCUCCUAGUACGAGAGGACCGGAGUGGACGCAUCACUGGUGUUCGGGUUGUCAUGCCAAUGGCAUUGCCCGGUAGCUAAAUGCGGAAGAGAUAAGUGCUGAAAGCAUCUAAGCACGAAACUUGCCCCGAGAUGAGUUCUCCCUGACUCCUUGAGAGUCCUGAAGGAACGUUGAAGACGACGACGUUGAUAGGUCGGGUGUGUAAGCGUAGCGAUACGUUGAGCUAACCGAUACUAAUGAACCGUGAGGCUUAACCU
rnacentral:rRNA from 1 species